rnacentral:rRNA from 1 species
GAUGAACGCUGGCGGCGUGCCUAAUACAUGCAAGUCGAGCGAACAGACGAGGAGCUUGCUCCUCUGACGUUAGCGGCGGACGGGUGAGUAACACGUGGAUAACCUACCUAUAAGACUGGGAUAACUUCGGGAAACCGGAGCUAAUACCGGAUAAUAUAUUGAACCGCAUGGUUCUAUAGUGAAAGACGGUUUUGCUAUCACUUAUAGAUGGAUCCGCGCCGCAUUAGCUAGUUGGUAAGGUAACGGCUUACCAAGGCAACGAUGCGUAGCCGACCUGAGAGGGUGAUCGGCCACACUGGAACUGAGACACGGUCCAGACUCCUACGGGAGGCAGCAGUAGGGAAUCUUCCGCAAUGGGCGAAAGCUUGACGGAGCAACGCCGCGUGAGUGAUGAAGGUCUUCGGAUCGUAAAACUCUGUUAUUAGGGAAGAACAAAUGUGUAAGUAACUAUGCACGUCUUGACGGUACCUAAUCAGAAAGCCACGGCUAACUACGUG